rnacentral:rRNA from 1 species
GGGGUGCAGCAGGCGCGAAAACUUUACAAUGCUGGCAACAGCGAUAAGGGGACCUUGAGUGCCCGGAUACAAUCCUGGCGGUCGUGAUGCCUAAAAAGCCUUAUAUAGCAAGGGCCGGGCAAGACCGGUGCCCGCCGCCGCGGUAACACCGGCGGCUCGAGUGGUAACCGCUAUUAUUGGGUUUAAAGGGUCCGUAGCCGGCUUGGUUAGUUUCCUGGGAAAUCCGGCAGUUUAACGGUCGGGCUUUCAGGAGAUACCGCCAGGCUCGAGACCGGGAGAGGUGAGAGGUACUUCAUGGGUAGGGGUGAAAUCUUGUAAUCCCUGAAGGACCACCAGUGGCGAAGGCGUCUCACCAGAACGGAUCUGACGGCAAGGGACGAAAGCUAGGGGCACGAACCGGAUUAGAUACCCGGGUAGUCCUAGCCGUAAACGAUACUCGCUAGGUGUCGGCUCACGGCUGCGACCGUGGUCGGUGCCGUAGGGAAGCCGUGAAGCGAGCCACCUGGGAAGUACGGCCGCAAGGCUGAAACUUAAAGGAAUUGGCGGGGGAGCACAAGGGCGAAUCGCGG